rnacentral:rRNA from 1 species
GCAGUCGAGCGGUAACAUUUCUAGCUUGCUAGAAGAUGACGAGCGGCGGACGGGUGAGUAAUACUUAGGAAUCUACCUAGUAGUGGGGGAUAGCUCGGGGAAACUCGAAUUAAUACCGCAUACGACCUACGGGAGAAAGGGGGCAACUUGUUGCUCUCGCUAUUAGAUGAGCCUAAGUCGGAUUAGCUAGAUGGUGGGGUAAAGGCCUACCAUGGCGACGAUCUGUAGCUGGUCUGAGAGGAUGAUCAGCCACACCGGGACUGAGACACGGCCCGGACUCCUACGGGAGGCAGCAGUGGGGAAUAUUGGACAAUGGGGGAAACCCUGAUCCAGCCAUGCCGCGUGUGUGAAGAAGGCCUUUUGGUUGUAAAGCACUUUAAGCAGUGAAGAAGACUCUUCGGUUAAUACCCGGAGACGAUGACAUUAGCUGCAGAAUAAGCACCGGCUAACUCUGUGCCAGCAGCCGCGGUAAUACAGAGGGUGCAAGCGUUAAUCGGAAUUACUGGGCGUAAAGCGAGCGUAGGUGGCUUGAUAAGUCAGAUGUGAAAUCCCCGGGCUUAACCUGGGAACUGCAUCUGAUACUGUCAGGCUAGAGUAGGUGAGAGGAAGGUAGAAUUCCAGGUGUAGCGGUGAAAUGCGUAGAGAUCUGGAGGAAUACCGAUGGCGAAGGCAGCCUUCUGGCAUCAUACUGACACUGAGGCUCGAAA